rnacentral:rRNA from 1 species
GUGAGUAGUUCAGAGUUUGAUCCUGGCUCAGGACGAACGCUGGCGGCGUGCUUAACACAUGCAAGUCGAACGGAGCUUAUAUGAUAGAGACUUCGGUCAAUUGAUUAUAAGCUUAGUGGCGGACGGGUGAGUAACGCGUGAGGAAUCUGCCUUGGAGUGGGGAAUAACACAGUGAAAAUUGUGCUAAUACCGCAUAAUGCAGUUGAGUCGCAUGGCUCUGACUGCCAAAGAUUUAUCGCUCUGAGAUGACCUCGCGUCUGAUUAGCUAGUUGGUAGGGUAACGGCCUACCAAGGCGACGAUCAGUAGCCGGACUGAGAGGUUGGCCGGCCACAUUGGGACUGAGACACGGCCCAG